GUGGCAUGGUCGGGACACAUACUAAGUAAUUCUUUAAAUCUUUCCCAAGCUUCUUAAAAUGAAUCACCAUCUAACUGGAUAAAUGCAGUGAUAUCAUUUCUAAGCUU